UAGGCAUAUAAGAAAGCAACAGGGCCUACUUAUUACUUGUACCAAAUUGGGUUUUCCCAAUUCAGCUUCUUCUGAUGCCUGCAUGUAAUAACUUGAGCACUGGUAUAAGUAAAAAUAAAAUACUAGGUUGCUUCUUACUUAGUUUCUAUUCUUUAGGUUAAAAUCUUCCUUGGAAAAUCUGGCCCCACAGUCUGUCAUAAUAAAAUCCUACAUGGAAGCCAAUAUCAAUUAACUGAAAUUAGCAUGGAGGCAGAAUCUAUUUUCCACACUUGCUCUGCAGCCAUUCUGCCUGGAAGCAUAUGUGCUCAUUACUGUUAUUUUGAACAUAUUAGUUUUUCUAGGUUCAAAAGAAAGAGGAGUGAAGAGGAGUAAAACAUACAUCUAUUAUAAAGCAAGAAGGUUAAAUAAAUGGAAGCUUUUUAUUUUUCUUUCUCUACCUAAGGGAGAUGCCAUUGCCUUUCAUCAAGAAAACAUGUCAGGAGAUCUAAAUGUAACAAAUACUCCCCCAAAGAAUUGGAACUUCAGCAAUGGGAAGAAGCAGAAGCUCUGUCAAUCUUAACAAAUUAACAGGCAGAUUGGUGGUUGCUGCGUGGUAGAAGCUUGGCUCAUCAGAAAGUUCCAGCCUCCAACCACAGUUGAAAUGGCCCACAUCCAUUGGAGCAAAGAAAAAGGUCAGUAAUUUGUUAGAAUUUUGAGAAAAGAGGGUUUCUUUGCACUAGGAUUGUGGAAUUUAGUAGGAAUACCAUGGUUUAGGAAAAGUGUACUUGAGAUAGAAAAACUCCAUAGAAGAAAGAGAAGCCCAGAGAUGGGAAAAGAG
rnacentral:lncRNA from 10 species